GUCAGUGUAGCAUUGUGGUUUUAGUGCUGGACUGCGACUCUGGAGCCCAGGUUCGAAUCCCUGUUUUGUCA